rnacentral:rRNA from 1 species
AUACGUAGGGGGCGAGCGUUGUCCGGAAUGAUUGGGCGUAAAGGGCGCGUAGGCGGCCCGGUAAGUCUGGAGUGAAAGUCCUGUUUUUAAGAUGGGAAUUGCUUUGGAUACUGUCGGGCUUGAGUGCAGGAGAGGUAAGUGGAAUUCCCAGUGUAGCGGUGAAAUGCGUAGAGAUUGGGAGGAACACCAGUGGCGAAGGCGACUUACUGGACUGUAACUGACGCUGAGGCGCGAAAGUGUGGGGAGCAAACAGGAUUAGAUACCCUGGUAGUCCACACUGUAAACGAUGAAUGCUAGGUGUAGGGGGUAUCGACCCCUACUGUGCCGCAGUCAACACAAUAAGCAUUCCGCCUGGGGAGUACGGCCGCAAGGUUGAAACUCAAAGGAAUUGACGGGG